rnacentral:rRNA from 1 species
UACGUAGGGGCAAGCGUUAUCCAGAUUUACUGGGCGUAAAGGGCGCGUAGGCGGCUUAACAAGUCACUUGUGAAAUCUCCGGGCUUAACUCGGAACGGCCAAGUGAAACUGUCAAGCUAGAGUGCAGAAGGGGCAAUCGGAAUUCUUGGUGUAGCGGUGAAAUGCGCAGAUAUCGGGAGGAACACCGGUGGCGAAGGCGGUUCUCUGGGCCUGACCUGACGCUGAGGAGCGAAAGCGUGGGGAGCGAACAGG